rnacentral:lncRNA from 1 species
AUGCUGGCUGCCUGGUUUCGGCUGCAGCCUGCGCUCUCGUUGGGAUGCAUGUGGGAGAAGGAGCCGGUGAAUGGCGGCCCUUGUUUGUCCUCUCUUGAGGAAUCUAAUUAUGUAUCAAUUGAUUUCAAAGCCCACAACAGUAACUCUCUAGCAAACACUCACUCCCAGACAUUGUUCUCAUUUUCGCCCGGUCAUAAUUUAUUCACCUCCGGUCUCAGGGAGGUGGCAGCCCCCUCCCGACCCACCCCCCGUGCCCACCGCCCCCUCUCCUUGUGGCUCACCCUGCAAACCCCCCCCCGGGGGGGGGCCAAAACCCCCCGGGGCGAAGGGGGGGGGGGGGGGCUGCCAGCGGUCACCUGGCGCUGCAGGACGCCCCCUCCCCAAACCCCUGCCGCUCCCCCAGCUGCCGGGGGCACCGUGCGUGUGCCCCGCGUCCCCCCCGGCCCCUCACGGAGGGCAGGGCCCCGCGGGACCAGGCGGGGGGGGGGCUCCCCGCUCCGUCCCACCGCCGUCCCCUCACCGCCGGCCGCGAGCCUCCCGUCAGCGCCCUCCCGUCAGGCAGCGCCCGCCGGCGGGAGCGGCCGCGAGCCCCGAGGGGGGGGCGCGCGCCUCUUCCCGCGCGCGGGCGCGACCCCCGCGCCACUGCCCGCGCGCGGGACCGUGCACACCUGCGCGGAGGUGCGCGGGCAGAAACGCGCGCCGUAUUUUUUUUAUUUUUUUUUUGCAGGAGCAAGCGCGCACACACGCAUGUAUGCAUGCACACGCGUGCAUGCGCGUGCAGACGCGCACAUGCACGCGCCAACGCAUGCAUACGCACACGCGUGCACGCGUGCCCGUGCGCAAACACGCAUGCACAAACACAUGCACAAAUGCCCGCACAAACACACAUGCACACACAAACAUACACAAAGACACGUGCACGAACAGUCAUGCAUGCGCAAAUGCAUGCACGAGCCCGCACGCACAUCCAAAUGCACGCGCACAUGCACACACAUGCACACACACGCACGCAGCCGUGCACAGGCUCCCCCCCCCCCGCAGCAGUCCCCUCCGGCUCUGCACAGCCCCGGCGCUGCCCCCCCCCGGUACCUGCCGGCGGCCGGGGGCUGCAGCUGA